rnacentral:rRNA from 1 species
GGGUGCGAUCAUACCAGCGUUAAUGCACUGAUACCAUCAGAACUCCCCAGUUAAGUGCGCUUUGGCUAGAGUAGUACUGGGACAGGUGACCUCCCUGGAAGUCCUAGUGUUGCACCCU